CACGUAGGGCGCAAGCGUUGUCCGGAAUUAUUGGGCGUAAAGAGCUCGUAGGCGGUCUGUUGCGUCCGCUGUGAAAUCUCACGGCUCAACUGUGAGCGUGCGGGCGAUACGGGCAGACUAGAGUACUGCAGGGGAGACUGGAAUUCCUGGUGUAGCGGUGGAAUGCGCAGAUAUCAGGAGGAACACCGGUGGCGAAGGCGGGUCUCUGGGCAGUAACUGACGCUGAGAAGCGAAAGCGUGGGGAGCGAACAGG
rnacentral:rRNA from 1 species